rnacentral:rRNA from 1 species
UACGGAGGGUGCAAGCGUUAAUCGGAAUUACUGGGCGUAAAGAGCGCGCAGGCGGUCGUUCAAGUCGAGUGUGAAAGCCCCCGGCUCAACUGGGGAGGGUCAUUCGAUACUGAUCGACUCGAAGGCAGGAGAGGGAAGCGGAAUUCCCGGUGUAGUGGUGAAAUGCGUAGAUAUCGGGAGGAACACCAGUGGCGAAGGCGGCUUCCUGGCCUGUUCUUGACGCUGAGGCGCGAAAGCUAGGGGAGCAAGCGGG